GUGAGGAAUCUUGCGCAAUGGGCGAAAGCCUGACGCAGCGACGCCGCGUGGAGGAUGAAGGUCUUCGGAUCGUAAACUCCUUUGGAGCGGGACGAAUCCCGGGAGGAUGAACAAUCCUACCGGUUGACGGUACCGCUAUAACAAGCCCCGGCUAACUCCGUGCCAGCAGCCGCGGUAAUACGGAGGGGGCCAGCGUUGUUCGGAAUCAUUGGGCGUAAAGGGCGCGUAGGCGGCCGAGCAAGUCGGAUGUGAAAUACCCCGGCUCAACUGGGGAACUGCAUCCGAAACUGCCUGGCUUGAGUCCUGGAGAGGGUAGUGGAAUUCCCAGUGUAGCGGUGAAAUGCGUAGAUACUGGGAGGAACACCGGUGGCGAAGGCGGCUACCUGGACAGGUACUGACGCUGAUGCGCGAAAGCUAGGGGAGCAAACAGGAUUAGAUACCCUUGUAGUCC
rnacentral:rRNA from 1 species